AUGGAUUAUGACAGCAGAGGCAGAUGUAUAUAAAAAAUAGCAUAGUUACAGCAUAAUUAUACUUACACUAUUUUUAACUCGAAGUAUGUAUACAUAGUUAAAAAAUAUAAAAAUGACUCUCUGUAUAUGCUCGAACCAUUGACUUCAAUCCUAAAUCUACAUAUCUAUGGAAGUGGGAAAGUAAAAGAUGCAGCCAGAUAAUAAAGCAUAGGGCACCCAAGAUACAUAUACUGUGUAUAGACAAUUGUAUUUGACCAUUCCAAGUGAGUAAUUUCCGCAAGAUAAAUGAUUCACCGCUCAUGCUUUAAGGAAUCAUUUCCCAAUUUCCAAAAUAUUCUGUCAUAUCUACUAUGCCAUUUCUUAUACGCUUCUCUAAAUUCUUAUCACAAUUUAUAAAUCCACAAUAAUCCUCCUUAUUUUUGCCGUCAGCAGAAGAACAAGAGGCAGGAGUAAAAAAAAAAAAAAAAUCGCUCAGUGCAAUUCCACCGCACAACUUAAUUUAGCUAAAAUUGGUCCUUACCUGAAAGUUGGUACGACUUUAUAAUGACAAGUUAUAAGUCUCAAGUCUGGACAUAUCCCUGCUCUGUUUCUAUGGCUUUUGAAUUUCACAGAUUUAAGAAGCCUCUUAUCUGUUUUGUUCUCAAUUUCAGUGAUAUAAAAAUGACAAUCAUACUUAACUGGUUAAAAUAUAAAUAAAAUAAAAUUAUCUACCUUAUGCGUGAGCUGGGUAUAACUUUAAUUAAACAAUUAGAGUUCAUUUUGGUCAUUUGAGUUCAGAUAUGUAGAGUAGAUCAAAUUCUGAGUUUUUCUGAGGUUGAUUUGGAGAUUCAUGUGGCAAUUUCCCUCCAGAAACUUGCAGCUUCAAAUUUAAGACUGAUCCGGAAGCCUGGGACUGAAGUCCCAUUGUUAUCAUGACAAGUUGGUUCCAACUAGGAGGUUUUCGGAUUGAAUUCUAUUAACAACUAAAGGUAUGGAUUCUUCGUGCGAACAACAAAGAGUAGACCGGCUAAGUCAACAUUAUGAUAGCGUUCACAAGUACGGGAUAGGAAAAGACAUCUCAAUGAGUGCUCAACAGAAGGGUGCAUGUCAUUGAGCAGCGACAAUGACCCAAACAAAAACUUUGGUCCAGGUUUGUAGCCUUUGAAACAGGCCUUUAAAAUUACCAUAGUUGCAACAGCACUGUAAGCACUCAGCACUUCUCUUUCGCACAAGUGAAACAACUCCAGGUAAAGUGAUUUAUGGAAUAUCACAAAGCCCUUGGCAUCAAGAAGAGCAAAUUUCUGAGACGAGAAAUAUCAGAACAGCCUUUUGAGUGGGAAGAGUAAGUUUCUCUUUUCCAUGUGGUAGGAGGUUCAACUAAGGUUCAGGUAUCUUUUUCCCAUACAGAAAACACUUACCGAAUCUGUGCUGAUGUUUUACUAGCGUGCCUUAAAAUUUUGAGUUCUAAUUUGUCAUUUAGACUAUUGACCAUUGGAUCAAUCGGCUUCCCCCUCACACCUAACAUUUUCAGUUGGUUUCAUUAAGUAACAAUCAUUAUCCUUUAUCUGGGUUAAAUUUUCCUAAAGCAGGUGUGAUUCAGUUAAGUUGAGCUUGGAUUGAGUUUCAGGGAUUCUUGAUUAAUUGCUGUAUUCGAUAUUUUGAUUGAUUGCCUGUUUCAAAUUUGUGCUAAUUGUUUUUCACACUCUCCCCAGACCCCACUUGUGGGAUUACACUGGGCACAUUGUUAUUGCUUUUUCAUAUUGGCCCAAUUUAUUAAGGUAGAAUUAUUGUUCACUUCAGCAGAGCUAGGGAACAAUCUCAAAAUAAAAGCAGUAAAGAAAUAAGAAGUGCAAAUAGAAGAGCUAGAUGAGAUUUCUUCUUGGGUUAAUAGAGACUACAACUUUGUUUCCCAAACUCAGUCGUUCAGCACUGUACAAUUUACUUCUAUCCUUCCUAAACACUGAAAAUCAGCAGGUGGUUUUCUGUAUACAAGCAAAAAAUAAACCCAAAUGUUUGUUGUCAGUCCCCAUUUGUAACAUCCUACCUACCACUACUCUGUAGUUAACUAAAACCUCUCAAUAUCCUAAAUCUUGAGCUAGUCCUACUUCCAAAAGCCAGCCAAACUGUGAUAUCUUCUGAGCUGCUUAAACAGAUGCACAAAAACCAGCCAGAGAAAAUACUAACAGAAGCACCAUAGUACUAUUUAGUUGAAUAAAAUCCCGAGACACCAAUAUCUGAUUCUCAAACCCAUAAAAUGGCUUAGGUUGUACCAGCUUCUUUUGCCUCAACAUAAGGAGACUGUACACUAUCCUCAUCAGAAUCACUCCCAGAAGAACUUCCUGAAUCUGAAUCUGCAAACAUUUACCAUAGCAAAAGUAAAUAUACCAUCACACUUGUUUAUCAAAAUGAACGACAGAAAAAAAGUUAUACCACUGGAAGAAGAAUCACUGCCAGAACUUGAGCUGCUAGAGCUGCUCGACCCACUACUCACACACGGCCCAUCCUUCUCAAUCUGUACAGGAGGAAAAUUUUCACCUGGUAUUUCCUCACCGAUAUCAACAUCCUCUUCCCCGACAUCCACUUUCUUGUUUUUAGGCAUUACAUGCUCUGGUAUUGGUAUUUCCUCAACGCUAUCAACAUCCUCUUUCCUGAUGUCUGCAUUCUUGUUUUUAGGCAUUGCUUGCUCUGGUUUUGAUAUUUCCUCAACUAUAUCAACAUCUUCA